GGUUGCAUGGUGUAAUGGUCAGCACCUCAGAUUCUGAUCCUCUUCUCGGAAGCUUCUGGAGAUCUGGGUUCAAUUCCCAGUGCGACCU